GAGCCUGAGAAACGGCUACCACAUCCCAAGGAAGGCAGCAGGCGCGCAAAUUACCCAAUCCCGACACGGGGAGGUAGUGACAAUAAAUAACAAUACAGGGCUCUUUCGGGUCUUGUAAUUGGAAUGAGUACAAUUUAAAUCCCUUAACGAGGAACAAUUGGAGGGCAAGUCUGGUGCCAGCAGCCGCGGUAAUUCCAGCUCCAAUAGCGUAUAUUAAAGUUGUUGCAGUUAAAAAGCUCGUAGUUGAAUUUCGGGAUUCUAUCGUUGGUCGGGCUAUUGUCUGUACUGGCGUGUAGAAUUUCUACCUUCUGGGGAACUAUCAUGUUAUUAAUUUAGCGUGGUAGGAAACCAGGACCUUUACCUUGAAAAAAUUAGAGUGUUCAAAGCAGGCUUAUGUCUGAAUACAUUAGCAUGGAAUAAUAAAAUAGGACGGUGGUCCUGUUUUGUUGGUUUCUGAAUCACCGUAAUGAUUAAUAGGGAUAGUUGGGGGCAUUAGUAUUCAAUUGUCAGAGGUGAAAUUCUUGGAUUUAUUGAAGACUAACUACUGCGAAAGCAUUUGCCAAGGAUGUUUUCAUUAAUCAAGAACGAAAGUUAGGGGAUCGAAGACGAUCAGAUACCGUCGUAGUCUUAACCAUAAACUAUGCCGACUAGGGAUCGGACGAUGUUAACUUUUCUUGACUCGUUCGGCGCCUUACGGGAAACCAAAGUGGGAUGGGUCCGGGGGGAGUAUGGUCGCAAGGCUGC
rnacentral:rRNA from 1 species